rnacentral:rRNA from 1 species
GGUUGAUCCUGCCAGUAGUGAUAUGCUUGUUUCAAAGAUUAAGCCAUGCAUGUGUAAGUAAAAACGUUAAUACAGUGAAACUGUAGAUGGCUCAUUAAAACAGUUGAUGUCUAUACAGUUGAAAUUUAAAUGUAUAUCUUCGGAAAUUCUGAAGCUAAUACAUGAGCAAAUCCAAACUUUCGGGAAUGGUUGUUUUUAUUAUUUUCUGAAUCAGAACGCUUCGGCGUAUGUGGUUGAAGAAUGUUAAAAACUAGUAUCCUUUCGGGGAAAAACUGUGUGAUCUUCUGACCUAU